UACGGGGGGGGCAAGCGUUGUUCGGAAUUACUGGGCGUAAAGGGCUCGUAGGCGGCCAACUAAGUCAGACGUGAAAUCCCUCGGCUUAACCGGGGAACUGCGUCUGAUACUGGAUGGCUUGAGUUUGGGAGAGGGAUGCGGAAUUCCAGGUGUAGCGGUGAAAUGCGUAGAUAUCGAGAGGAACACCUGCGGCGAAGGCGGGUUGCUGGGCUGAUACUGACGCUGAGGCGCGAAAGCCAGGGGAGCGAACGGG
rnacentral:rRNA from 1 species